rnacentral:rRNA from 1 species
AUGGAGUUUUCCUUAUCAAAUCCUAUCUAUUCCCUUUCUUUGGCACCGUUUGCCACAUUUAAAGCUGAUCCUUUUACUAACCAUUGCAUUGAUGGUAUAUUUGAUUAUUCUUGUUCAUUGUCGUUUCAGGCUUUCUGUAGUCAAGGGCUCAUUGAACAUUACAUUAACAAGAUAGCUUCGUUCUGCUUGAGUGAUGUAUUUCCAAGUGAUAUGUCGGCCGGCCAUCCCGGUUAUGCAUCUUUAUUUGCAAAUAUUUUUGACGCCGCAGUCUAUAUCUUGUCCGACCAAGCUUUAUCUCAUGAGAGAGUAGCUGAUCUACUUAACGCUUCUGUGUUAUUUCUGGAUGCUUUGCCCAAAAUUGCAUCACCGUCCAAAAGUAUUGAUGAUGUCGAUAAUAGUGGGCUUCAUGAAUAUUUGCAAAGAGAGAUAAGGCUGGUGCUUCAAGUUUUGGUGAAUGCUGCAGUUAGAUGCACAGCCAGCAUAUCCUAUAUUGAUACAGCAAGGCAACCCACUGUUGCAAUGAAAGCUGUGGGCUCUCUUUCUGCUCUUGUGCAUUUGAUGCUAGAAACAUUUAGUAUGGACGUAAUUAUGACAGCAUUGGCAUUUCAUACUGAAAUAGCUUCUGUUUUAUGGAACUUUAUAAAGUGGUGCCAUGAAAGUGAAAGCUGGAAUAUUUUUUUGAACAGUCUGAUUUCAUGGCCUACAAAUGCUCCUGCUUGGUUUCUACCAGUUUCUUUGUUCUGUCCCAUAUACAUGCACAUGUUGGGAGUGCUUGAUAACACCGAGUUCAUAGAACAGGGUGAACCAUUUUUACUUGAUGAUUUGAAGUAUUUGGUUUCUGUAUUAAAAGAGGAACUGUUCGAAAUUCUUUGGAAUAUUCCUUCGCAUACCUCUAAUAUUCAGGCAGCAUUGCCCAACCCACUUGGACUUCAGAAGAUCUCAAUUGAGGGUCUCAAAAGCAAGGCUAUGUUUGGCUUAAUUGAAUUACUUUCAGAGCUGCAGGAUUGGAAUAACAGAUUAUUCACUGAUGAUGAGAGUGCUUUCUGUAUUGAUAAUUUUUCCGAAGUGGUGGGUGAAGAUUUUGUCGGCCAGGCAAUACUUGCCAAUAGCCAAGAAUCAAAACUAGUAAAGAUUGCCCCCUUCUUGGUUCCUUUCAGUCUUCGACUGCAAAUAUACCAUUUAUAUUUGGCUGCUGAUAAGGCAAAGUUCAAAGCUUCAAGACUACCCUUAGGGUCCCAUCCGAUAGAAAUAAGAAGAACUCACUCUCGGGAAGAUGCUUUUGAACAUCUAAACCAUCUCUCUUCCGAAGAACUUAAAGGAUAUAUUGAAGUGAGCUUUAUUAAUCAGCAUGGUAUUAGAGAAGAAGGUGUUGGUGAAGGGAUAUCACGUGAUUUUAUUGAUGGUGUUGCCAAGUUAGCAUUUGGUUCGGACGCUGGCUUCUUCAAGUCAACCUCUCGCAAUUUGCUCUAUCCGAGAUUGGGGUCAGUUUCUGCACAAGAUCUGGAACAUUUCCAUUUCCUUGGACUUCUUCUUGGAAAGGCAAUGUAUGAGAAUGUCAGUAUCGAAGCAGUGUUUGAAUUAUCAUUCUUAAAAACAAUAAAACAGAGACCAAUCUGUUUAAAUGAUUUCUCAUUAUUGGAUAAAGCAAUCUAUAAUCAACUGCGAAACAUGAAGAAAGAGGAGGAUUCAAUCUCAGGAUGGGGCUUGUACUUUUCAAUCUCAAGUGGUAACAAUAAUGAUGAAGAAGAUUUGCUUCCUGGUGGGAGCAAUAUGCUUGUUACUAAGCAUAAUUUUGCUCUCUAUAUGCAUCUUGUCGCAGACUAUAAAUUAAAACAUCAGAUCCGUGCACAAAGUAAGCACUUUUUGAGAGGUUUCCAACAGCUUAUUUCACUGGAAUGGCUUGACAUGUUCAGUGAGCCGGAAGUUCAGUGGAUUAUAUCUGGACCUUCUAAAGGGCUGGAUAUAGAUGACUUGCGGUCAAACACGAAUUAUGCUGGUGCAUUUCAUCAGGAUCACGAGGUCAUAAUUUUCUUUUGGGAGGUUUUAGAGACUUUUGGUCAAGAUGAUCGGAAAGCAUUUCUCAAGUAG